rnacentral:lncRNA from 1 species
AGGCCUGGAACUCCCCAUCUUCUCCCCGAGCCACCAAGUUGGCAAGACUCUCCCACCCCUGUACCUGCCAACUGAUGGGUGGAGGCUAGAACUGCUUGGUGUCCUGAGGAACCUGCGCACUCAGGUACCCGUCCUGGGUAACUUAGCUUCUAGCAGCAGAGGCUCCGCAGUGCACCCGCCCCAUCGGACUUGUCUGCUUCUCUGGGUCCCUUGCCCCGACCCAGAUGCAUCCACAUCCGCAUCCGCAGGGCAGAAUUAUGACAAGAGCCCUGUUCAGUUAGCUUCGGUCCGCGGAUUGCAGCCCGGGAGCCGCCUCUUUGCACCUCCUGCAGCCCUCAGCCUAGUCCCUGCCCUCCCAGGAGAGUGUUCCCCUGGGACAGAGGAGAUGGCAGAUAAAGGCGCCUGUUCAGUUCCCAGAAGAAAAAACACACAUGGUGGAAGGAGAAAAGCCAACUGAUCUUGCAAGUUCACCUCUGACCUCCACAAGUGCACUGAUAUGCCUCCUUUCCUCAGUACAUAAGUAAAUGUAAAACCAAGUUUUU